rnacentral:misc_RNA from 1 species
GAUGAAGAACGUAGCGAAAUGCGAUACUUGGUGUGAAUUGCAGAAUCCCGUGAACCAUCGAGUCUUUGAACGCAAGUUGCGCCUCAAUCCAUUAGGUUGAGGGCACGUCUGCCUGGGCGUCACAUAUCGUUGCCUGAUGCCAGUUUCCUCGUGAUGGGUGACUGUGCAGGGCGAAUGAUGGCUUCCCGUGAGCAUUGUUGCCUCAUGGUUGGUUGAAAAUUGAGUCCUUGGUAGGGAGCGCCGUGAUAGAUGGUGGUUGAGUGACGAACGAGACCCAAUCAUGUGAGACCCCUACCGAAUUUGGCCUUCAUGACCCACAUGCGUCUUUGGAACGCUCAUGACGAGACCUCAGGUCAGGCGGGGCUACCCGCUGAGUUUAAGCAUAUCAAUAAGCGGAGGA